rnacentral:rRNA from 1 species
UACGGAGGAGGCAAGCGUUAUCCGGAAUUAUUGGGCGUAAAGCGUCCGCAGGUGGCACUUCAAGUCUGUCGUCAAAGACUGGGGCUUAACCCUGGAAAGGCGGUGGAAACUGAAGUGCUAGAGUGCGGUAGGGGUAGAGGGAAUUCCCGGUGUAGCGGUGAAAUGCGUAGAGAUCGGGAAGAACAUCGGUGGCGAAGGCGCUCUGCUGGACCAUAACUGACACUCAGGGACGAAAGCUAGGGGAGCGAAUGGG